rnacentral:rRNA from 1 species
AUACAGACUAUUAUUCAAACUGUUAAACUCGAGAAUGGUAGAGGUAACUGGAAUUUCUAGUGUAGGAGUGAAAUCCGUAGAUAUUAGAAGGAACACCGAUGGCGUAGGCAGGUUACUGGGCCAUUUCUGACGCUAAGGCACGAAAGCGUGGGGAGCGAACCGGAUUAGAUACCCGGGUAGUCCACGCCGUAAACGAUGGAUACUAGCUGUUGGAGGUAUCGACCCCUUCAGUAGCGAAGCUAACGCGUUAAGUAUCCCGCCUGUGGAGUACGGCCGCAAGGCUAAAACAUAAAGGAAUUGACGGGGACCGGCACAAGCGGUGGAUUAUGUUCUUUAAUUCGAUGAUAACCGAAGAACCUUACCAGGGCUUGACAUCCAGGGAAGGUCUGCGAAAGUAGACUGUGCCUUUUGGAACCCUGUGACAGGUGAUGCAUGGCCGUCGUCAGCUCGUGUCGUGAGAUGUUA